rnacentral:ncRNA from 1 species
GGGUGGGGGAGUUGCCCCAGGGUAAAGGUUUGGGCGGGCCCCCAAUU